rnacentral:ncRNA from 23 species
AAUUUGAUACAUUAUAUCACUCAUAUAAUCGCGUGGAUAUGGCACGCAAGUUUCUACCGGGCACCGUAAAUGUCCGACUAUGAGUGGGCGAUAAGAAAAC